rnacentral:rRNA from 1 species
GAGUUUGAUCAUGGCUCAGAGUGAACGCUGGCGGCAGGCCUAACACAUGCAAGUCGAACGGCAGCGGGUCGUAGCAAUACGAUGCCGGCGAGUGGCGGACGGGUGAGGAAUACAUCGGAAUCUACCUUGUCGUGGGGGAUAACGUAGGGAAACUUACGCUAAUACCGCAUACGACCUACGGGUGAAAGCGGAGGACCGCAAGGCUUCGCGCGAUUGGAUGAGCCGAUGUCCGAUUAGCUAGUUGGCGGGGUAAGAGCCCACCAAGGCGACGAUCGGUAGCUGGUCUGAGAGGAUGAUCAGCCACACUGGAACUGAGACACGGUCCAGACUCCUACGGGAGGCAGCAGUGGGGAAUAUUGGACAAUGGGCGCAAGCCUGAUCCAGCCAUGCCGCGUGUGUGAAGAAGGCCUCGGUUGUAA